AUACGAAGGUGGCGAGCGUUGUUCGGAUUUAUUGGGCGUAAAGGGCUCGUAGGCGGUUCAACAAGUCGAUCGUGAAAGCCCGGGGCUCAACCCCGGGACGCCGGUCGAAACUGUUGUGACUAGGGUCCGGUAGAGGUGAGUGGAAUUCUCGGUGUAGCGGUGGAAUGCGCAGAUAUCGAGAGGAACACCAGUUGCGAAGGCGGCUCACUGGGCCGGUACCGACGCUAAGGAGCGAAAGCGUGGGGAGCAAACAGGAUUAGAUACCCCAGUAGUCC
rnacentral:rRNA from 1 species